AAUGGUUGCCAUAUCACCCUGUAGCCCAAGACUGGUUGCCCACUGAAGCUAAGCAGGGUUGAGCCUGGUCAGUACCUGGAUGGGAGACCUCCUGGGAAAACUAGGUUGCUGCUGGAA
ensembl:rRNA 5S_rRNA 5S ribosomal RNA